CGGGGUGCACCAGGCGCGAAACCUCUGCAAUAGGCGAAAGCCUGACAGGGUUACUCUGAGUGAUUCCCGCUAAGGGGAUCUUUUGGCACCUCUAAAAAUGGUGCAGAAUAAGGGGUGGGCAAGCCUGGUGUCAGCCGCCGCGGUAAUACCAGCACCCCGAGUGGUCGGGACGAUUAUUGGGCCUAAAGCAUCCGUAGCCGGCCACGCAAGUCCUCCGUUAAAUCCACCCGCUCAACGGUUGGGCUGCGGAGGAUACUACGUGGCUAGGAGGCGGGAGAGGCAAGCGGUACUCAAUGGGUAGGGGUAAAAUCCUUUGAUCCAUUGAAGACCACCAGUGGCGAAGGCGGCUUGCCAGAACGCGCUCGACGGUGAGGGAUGAAAGCUGGGGGAGCAAACCGGAUUAGAUACCCGGGUAGUCCCAGCUGUAAACGAUGCAGACUCGGUGAUGGGAUGGCCUCGAGCCAUCCCAGUGCCGCAGGGAAGCCGUUAAGUCUGCCGCCUGGGGAGUACGGUCGCAAGACUGAAACUUAAAGGAAU
rnacentral:rRNA from 1 species